UACGGGGGGGGCAAGCGUUGUUCGGAAUUACUGGGCGUAAAGGGCGCGUAGGCGGUCCUACAAGUCCCGCGUGAAAGCCCCCGGCUCAACUGGGGAAUGGCGCGGGAAACCGUAUGGCUAGAGUCCGGAAGAGGAGAGUGGAAUUCCUGGUGUAGCGGUGAAAUGCGCAGAUAUCAGGAAGAACACCAAUGGCGAAGGCAGCUCUCUGGGACGGUACUGACGCUGAGGAGCGAAAGCGUGGGGAGCGAACAGG
rnacentral:rRNA from 1 species